UUUGUUUAGAAAUACAGAAGAGUAAAAAGAAACAAUAUUUAUUUUAUAGUCUCUUCUAGGCACUACAUAUCGAUACGGCGGAAAUAGAAUUCAUGUUUUGUCCGAAAGGAAGUCCCUGACAAAAGAAAUAUGUGAAGAAAAUGAAAUGCACAAUCAUGCUUCUAACUAUUAAUUAACGUUAUUUUUAUCGAAAUAUCAAAAUGAAUAUUUUUAUAUGUUGAUCUUGCAAUUCAAAUAUUUAUGUAAAGUAUGAAUUCUUAUCUACGACCUUGAAAAUUUAUUAUGUGAUUUUCUUAAAAAAUACUUGACAAAAGACGGCCUGGAAGAAAAGAGGAGAAAGAAAAAUAAACGGACACAUUAAUUCCAUUCUAAAAAAGCCAUUUCUCUUUUGAGAAGAACGUUUAUCUUAUUAAAAGAUAACUAAGGUAUAGAA